rnacentral:misc_RNA from 1 species
GACAAUAUUGAGGAUGGUUCCCUGGAGCUUGAGAAAGGUGAAUUUUUUCUUGCGAGUGUGAUAGAUGCUGUUGUUAGCCAAGUGAUGUUAUUAUUGAGGGAAAGAGGAGUUCAACUUAUCCGUGAUAUUCCAGACGAAAUCAAGACAUUGAGGGUCUAUGGAGAUCAAGUCAGAAUUCAACAGGUUUUCGCUGAUUUCUUACAGAUUAUGGCAAGCUAUGCACCACCCCGGGAAGGGUGGGUAGAAGUCCAUCUUCGAC